CUGAAUUUGUCAAAGUCAAAUGCUUCAGAAAAUUUCUAAAGGACGACUAACACACAACCUACAGAGAUAAUAACGCCGGAGUGUAAUUAGAAUAUACGAGAAAACAUAAUUCUUCUACACGAAAACUCAAACACAAACCCGUUUACUAGCUGCCGUUUGAGGUCUGCCUUAGGGGCUACAGACGCUAUAGGUGUGGAUGCUAGGGGCACCCAGUGAGUGUGUCGUCUUUAACGCAGUGAAGUGUGUUAGAGACAUGUACUGAUGAACGCUGUCACGUUUCACUCUUAAAGGCGAAGCUUAAGCGUCCUCCAAGUUUUCUCUAGCACUGUGUGCUACUUUUGUAAAUGACCACAUCUCAUUUGAGGACACCACGUUUUGCUUUCAUAUUUUUAACUUACCUCGUGAAUGAAUGUUCAAGUUGCCUUAGUUGAUGACUCCAGUUGCUUCUUUUGCAGCCAACAUAAAUGCGUUUCCUAUGGCGUAUAUUACAAUGUUUCAAAGGAUCCAGGAAUGGACGUAGCUCCUGUGAUGGAAACAAUGAAAACUAAAGAACUCGGCUGCAGUCAAGGUGCUUAUACUGAGAACUCUGUAGGAAUGGAUAGUUUAGGCUUUGAAGGAGACUUUCAAAAUGGACGAAAGUAUACUUUCCAGUACUAUGAUCGAAAGGAAAAAUGUGCCGUCAUUACCUUCUCGGACAAACAAUGUAGUAUAAAAUGUGAGCUACACGUUUGGUACCUGUUCUUUCACCAGGACAAGUCCAACUGCAUCAGAGAAUACAACUACUUGUGCGGGAAGCGCCCAGAAUACAAAUCAUAUGACCACACAAUGUGUGACUGGUUAGUGCCCAAAACAUGACCUAU
rnacentral:lncRNA from 1 species